UGCAAAUGAUGAUUUUUCUCACGAUGGUCUUCCUAGCUCAAGAAGCUGUGACGAUAAUGCCUUAUGGCAAACACUGAUGCAGUCUG